rnacentral:rRNA from 1 species
UACGGAGGGGGCUAGCGUUGUUCGGAAUUACUGGGCGUAAAGCGCACGUAGGCGGCUUUGUAAGUUAGAGGUGAAAGCCCGGGGCUCAACCCUGGAAUUGCCUUCGAUACUGAAGAUCUCGAGACCGGAAGAGGUAAGUGGAACUGCGAGUGUAGAGGUGAAAUUCGUAGAUAUUCGCAAGAACACCAGUGGCGAAGGCGGCUUACUGGUCCGGUUCUGACGCUGAGGCGCGAAAGCGUGGGAGCAACAGGAGU